GUCGAGGGGCAGCACGAUGUAGCAAUACAUUGGUGGCGACCGGCGCACGGGUGAGUAACGCGUAUGCAACCUACCUAUCAGAGGGGAAUAACCCGGCGAAAGUCGGACUAAUACCGCAUAAAACAGGGGUUCCACAUGGAAAUAUUUGUUAAAGAAUUAUCGCUGAUAGAUGGGCAUGCGUUCCAUUAGAUAGUUGGUGAGGUAACGGCUCACCAAGUCCACGAUGGAUAGGGGUUCUGAGAGGAAGGUCCCCCACACUGGUACUGAGACACGGACCAGACUCCUACGGGAGGCAGCAGUGAGGAAUAUUGGUCAAUGGGCGAGAGCCUGAACCAGCCAAGUCGCGUGAAGGAUGAAGGAUCUAUGGUUUGUAAACUUCUUUUAUAUGGGAAUAAAGUGAGGAACGUGUUCCUUUUUGUAUGUACCAUAUGAAUAAGCAUCGGCUAACUCCGUGCCAGCAGCCGCGGUAAUACGGAGGAUGCGAGCGUUAUCCGGAUUUAUUGGGUUUAAAGGGUGCGUAGGUGGUUAAUUAAGUCAGCGGUGAAAGUUUGUGGCUCAACCAUAAAAUUGCCGUUGAAACUGGUUGACUUGAGUAUAUUUGAGGUAGGCGGAAUGCGUGGUGUAGCGGUGAAAUGCAUAGAUAUCACGCAGAACUCCGAUUGCGAAGGCAGCUUACUAAACUAUAACUGACACUGAAGCACGAAAGCGUGGGGAUCAAACAGGAUUAGAUACCCUGGUAGUCCACGCAGUAAACGAUGAUUACUAGCUGUUUGCGAUACACAGUAAGCGGCACAGCGAAAGCGUUAAGUAAUCCACCUGGGGAGUACGCCGGCAACGG
rnacentral:rRNA from 1 species